rnacentral:rRNA from 1 species
AUCACUAAGCGGAGGAAAAGAAAUUAACUAAGAUUGCCUCAGUAACGGCGAGUGAAGCGGCAAGAGCCCAAAAUGUAAAUCUUCACACUGCGUGUGACGAAUUGUAAUCUAAAGAUGGUUCGCUCACCGGGUGGUGGCGCAGAAGUGCCCUAGAACGGGCCGCCAGAGAGGGUGACAGCCCCGUAUGUGGUGCCAYCGCCUAACGAGCGGGUUAUCGAAGAGUCGGGUUGUUUUGUAUUGCAGCCCUAAGUGGGAGAUAAACUUCUUCUAAGGCUAAAUAUAUAUGGGAAACCGAUAGCGAACAAGUACUGUGAAGGAAAGAUGAAAAGAACUUUGAAAAGAGAGUCAAAAGACUUGAAAUCGUUGAGAAGGAAGCGGUAGGAAUUUAUUCUUCAGCGGAGGACGGUGGCGGCUGCCUAACCAUUGCUGGCUGUGAGCACUGCAAAGGCUCCGGUUGGUACCUGGGGAAGCGGCCGUUUUGCCCUCCGUUGUGAGGCAAGAUGGGGUCGUGUUCCCGCAGAGGCUUCUCAGACCUGGCCUGAUUCGUCAGGCAGUCUGGGUGUGCCGGCGGGCGUGCGGCCUGAGGGUGCUUCGUGCGAUCUUGCCAAAAUGGUUCUUACCGGCCCGUCUUGAAACACGGACCAAGGAGUCUAACAUAUAUGCGAGUGUGCUGGUGGAAAAACCAACACGCGUAAUGAAAGUGAGUGAUGCCAAGCGCAAGCAGCAGCAUCAACCGACCAUGAUCCUCUGGUGAAAGGUUUGAGUAAGAGCAUAUCUGUUAGGACCCGAAAGAUGGUGAACUUUGCCUGAGUAGGGUGAAGCCAGGGGAAACUCUGGUGGAGGCUCGUAGCGGUACUGACGUGCAAAUCGUUCGUCAAACUUGGGUAAAGGGGCGAAAGACUAAUCGAACCAUCUAGUAGCUGGUUCCCUCCGAAGUUUCCCUUAGGAUAGCUGGGACAAUAACGCAGUUUUAUUAGGUAAAGCGAAUGAUUAGAGGCAUCGGGGGUAAAAUACCCUCGACCUAUUCUCAAACUUUAAAUUGGUAAGAACCCUGGCCUUUCUUAAGUGAGGCAUGGGGGCUCAAUGCGUGUCCCAAGUGGGCCAUUUUUGGUAAGCAGAACUGGCGAUGAGGGAUGCUCCUAACGUCGAGUUAAGGUGCCCAACUACACGCUCAUCAGAUACCACAAAGGGUGUUGGUUCAUACAGACAGCAGGACGGUGGCCAUGGAAGUCGGAACCCGCUAAGGAGUGUGUAACAACUCACCUGCCGAAUG